CCACAUAAUUAUGAAUGUUGUAAAUUGGUUUUAAAGAUGUAAUGUGUAUUAUUAUUUUUACAUAAAAGUGUAAUGUGUAUUGUAAAUUUUAAGUGAGACAGUCAAGUUGUGUUGUUUUGGUUGAAUGAUUACAUUAUACAUUCAUGUGAUAUUGUUAUGUUUUUUCAUUAUGAAUUUUCAUCCUUAAGUUUUUUUUAUUAUGAACUUUCAUCCAAUUAUGAUUUUUAGUAUCCGGAUUUUUAGUAUCCG
rnacentral:lncRNA from 1 species